GAUGAACGCUAGCGGGAGGCUUAACACAUGCAAGUCGAGGGGCAGCACGAGGUAGCAAUACUUUGGUGGCGACCGGCGCACGGGUGAGUAACGCGUAUGCAACCUACCCUGUACAGGGGGAUAACCCGGAGAAAUUCGGACUAAUACCCCAUAAAGAUAUUUGGAGGCAUCUUUGAAUAUUUAAAGUUCCGGCGGUACGGGAUGGGCAUGCGUGACAUUAGCUAGUUGGUAGGGUAACGGCCUACCAAGGCUUCGAUGUCUAGGGGUCCUGAGAGGGUGAUCCCCCACACUGGUACUGAGACACGGACCAGACUCCUACGGGAGGCAGCAGUGAGGAAUAUUGGUCAAUGGGCGCAAGCCUGAACCAGCCAUCCCGCGUGAAGGAAGAAGGCGCUAUGCGUUGUAAACUUCUUUUCCAGGGGAAGAAAACCAGAUACGAGUAUCGGCUUGCCGGUACCCUGGGAAUAAGCAUCGGCUAACUCCGUGCCAGCAGCCGCGGUAACAC
rnacentral:rRNA from 1 species